ACAUGCUUACAACAUAAUGUUAAUGCACCAGAUCCCAUUAGAACUCUGCAGUUAAGCGCGCUUGAGCUAGAGUAGUAUUGGGAUGGUGACCACCUAGGAAUUCCUACUAUUUUACAUGCC
rnacentral:rRNA from 1 species